rnacentral:tRNA from 1 species
GCCCGGGUGAUGGAACUGGAAGACAUUCGCGACUUAAGAUCGCGUGGCCGUAAGGCCGUGCCGGUUCGACUCCGGCCCCGGGCA